UACGUAGGGUGCAAGCGUUAAUCGGAAUUACUGGGCGUAAAGCGUGCGCAGGCGGUGAUGUAAGACAGGUGUGAAAUCCCCGGGCUUAACCUGGGAACUGCAUUUGUGACUGCAUUGCUGGAGUGCGGCAGAGGGGAAUGGAAUUCCGCGUGUAGCAGUGAAAUGCGUAGAUAUGCGGAGGAACACCGAUGGCGAAGGCAAUCCCCUGGGCCUGCACUGACGCUCAUGCACGAAAGCGUGGGGAGCAAACAGG
rnacentral:rRNA from 1 species